AUGGUAGUGAAAAUGAUGGCGACCGAUGCAGAGGAGAUAAGAAACCAAACAAGCCCCUGCCCUAUCCCCGACAACAGUCUCAGCACUCUGUCCAUCAAAAUCACGCGGAAAAACCAGGAUAGACACUGGAAGUUGCGGUCUAUUUACCUGCAGUGCUAUUUCUUGACCAUUGCAACAAUAUUGGGAACUGGAAUCUUAGGUCUUCCAGUGACGAUAGCCCAUGCUGGAUUGUUGCCUUUCCUCGUCUCGUUUCUCGUUGGCUUCUUUGUCCAGGCUUUGCUUAUCUACCUGUUUGUGGAACUUCUUCAGAAAUGUCAGGUGGUUCAGCUGGAAUCUCUGAAGACAGGUGUCGCCGAAUGUAUCUCGAUGGAUCAGGUGGGCGUGGAGGAUCCGGCACCCACAGAGGACGAGGAUGAGGACGAGGGUGAAAAUGCAGAGGCGGAUACCGGUUUACUACAGUCAGAUGGAGUAGCUUUGCACAACCAAGCUGAGUGCCUGCAGCCCAACCUUCAUCUGCUCGGCUACAUCUUCCUCUCCCGGCCCAUGAGCCACGCCUUUAACUGCAUCCUCCUCUUCCAGUUUAUUUCUAUUGGAAUCAGUUAUGUGUUAGCUGGCAGUGAGGCCUUUGCUGCUCUUCUUAAUGUCAGCCACAUCUACGUGAUCCCGGCCUUCACCUGGAUUCUAACUCUUGCAAUCUUACUGGCCCACACAAUCAUCCAACCAAUCACGUCUCUGCUUACCCUGCUGAAAGGACUUCUGCUCAUUGUCACGGUGGCUGUGACAUUUGCGGUGGGGUCUGAGGUUGGCCUUCAGAGCAGCAGUGACUUCAGUCAGAUGGGGAAACCUUUCCUAAUGGGAACAGUGGCUCUGGGGGGGAUAGUAAACGUGAUGCCUCUGCUCUUCUCGCAGAUCUCUCACAACAAAACACAGAUCCUGUGGUUUCGGAGAGCAGUGCUUGGAGGUCUGACAACCUGCACUGUGCUCAACAUCCUCUGGGCAGAGGGUCAAGGAUUGUGGAGGCAGGUAAUCGGGGGGGCUUUGUUUAGGCACAGUAAUCAUUAG
rnacentral:lncRNA from 1 species